ensembl:lncRNA
GCCCUCGGGCGCAGCGCGCAGCGUCGGGCUCCCUCCGAGCCUCCGCCCGGGCCGCCCGCGCCGAGCGCCCGGCCGCCGCCCUCUCCGCCUUUCCCCGCGUCCCCCGCCAGCCCGCCCUCGGGAUCUCAGCGCUCCGCUGCGCUCGGGCCGCAGGUGCCCCGCGGCGCGCCGGCCUGCUGGGGUCACGUGCUUCCCGGGCCCCGCAGGUCGCGGACCCCUCGCGCGCUGCCCGGGGCUCCAACGUGCCACGUGAAGCGCUCCCGCUCCGCUGCCCCGGGGCGCACGCCGCGCGGGCCGGGUCAUGUGUCUUUCCCGGGAGGUCCCGGUGAGCCGCCGCCCCUGGGCGCCUCGUGCCGCCGCGGGGCAGGGACCGCAGGCGCCCGGCGGCGUCAACUUCCUAGGACGGCACGUGCCAUGCCAGGUGCCUUUCCCUCCAAGUCCCAGAGUCCGCGAGGCCCAGCUGCCCGCACCCCCGGCCGACGCGGGGCACUCGGACUGGGCCCUGGGGUCCUGAGCCGCCUGAGAGCGACGCCUCGCCUCGGAAUGGGCCAGGCAGCGUAGCUGUUUGCCAUAAGACUGCUCUCUCUGGCUUUGUCGCCAAGCAUCGCCCCUCGUCCCCCUCCCCACCCCCUACCUCAUUUACAGCUGGGUGGCAUGUCCAUUGAAACACAUGUCAUAUGGAGACUAUGAAACGGGAACCCAAGGACUGGCUUAGGAAGCUGGCGGUUGCUGAGCAAGCCCUGGCCACUCUGGGCUGGCGGCACAAAGCUGUAGGUCUGGAUUCUAGUCAUCGGUGGCCUGGCGGUUGUCCGUCCGCACAGCAGUGUGCAGGCUGUGUGUGUGUC